rnacentral:tRNA from 1 species
UCCGACCUUAGCUCAGUUGGUAGAGCGGAGGACUGUAGUGGUACAUUUCAGUAAUCCUUAGGUCGCUGGUUCGAUUCCGGCAGGUCGGAU